rnacentral:lncRNA from 1 species
AGCAGCCUGGCUGACCCUGUUUGUGACCAAAGGGCAGAAGAACAUCCCAGCCACUGCAAGAGCUACCAGGCAGGCAGCUUCUGGGCAGUGGGCACCCUGCUCAGCACCUUGCACACAGAGGAUGGAGGCUCCAAGCAAUCGGAAAACAGAUCAGCACCACGGAGAGCUCCUUUGGCCGAGGAAAUGAAAGAGGGAUUGUAGUUACCAGAAGC